AUUGAACGCUGGCGGCAUGCUUUACACAUGCAAGUCGAACGGUAACAGGCCGCAAGGUGCUGACGAGUGGCGAACGGGUGAGUAAUGCAUCGGAACGUGCCCAGUCGUGGGGGAUAACGCAGCGAAAGCUGUGCUAAUACCGCAUACGAUCUAUGGAUGAAAGCGGGGGACCGUAAGGCCUCGCGCGAUUGGAGCGGCCGAUGUCAGAUUAGGUAGUUGGUGGGGUAAAGGCCCACCAAGCCAACGAUCUGUAGCUGGUCUGAGAGGACGACCAGCCACACUGGGACUGAGACACGGCCCAGACUCCUACGGGAGGCAGCAGUGGUGAAUUUUGGACAAUGGGCGCAAGCCUGAUCCAGCAAUGCCGCGUGCAGGAAGAAGGCCUUCGGGUUGUAAACUGCUUUUGUACGGAACGAAACGGUCCGGGCUAAUACCCUGGGCUAAUGACGGUACCGUAAGAAUAAGCACCGGCUAACUACGUGCCAGCCGCCGCAGUAAUAC
rnacentral:rRNA from 1 species